rnacentral:lncRNA from 1 species
UUGAGAACCCAUCAUGUAAAUAAUUACGAAUAUUCAAUUGGGAAAUGUUGAACAUCACAGCAACAAGUGUCUGCAACUGGUCAUGGGUUAAAUAGUUUAUUAUAAAAUUUGUCUAAUUCAUUAUUGAGAUUGAUCAAUAGCCGCUCCACCAAUAGUGUUUAUUAUUCAUGUUCUUUUCUUUAUUAGUGAUGGUCUAGUUCAAUUCUGAGAACAUGUUAAAUUCAUAAUCUUAGCCACAAAAGUGCAGUUUCUAAACACACACAUUGAGCUAAUGUACACAUUUCAGAACAAAUUCAAGCGUAUACUCAUGAUAUGCGCAAAUCCUUGGCUGUAUAUCUACUUUUGAAACGCAAGUAAAAGUAGACACGUGACACUUAAUCGGCUAUAUAAAGAAAUGAUUAUUUCCGGAUUUUUUCUUCAAUAAAUCCAGAUUACUUCUAACAAUAAAACAUUAAGAUUCGCAACUUUAACCUAGUGAAGUUGCAAAUUAAUCAUAUAUGAAAUAAUAGCAGGCUCUGAUCAUGUCAUAACAAUUUCACGCAUAUAGCCAUGAGAUACACGAAUCUUU